UACAGAGGGUGCAAGCGUUAAUCGGAUUUACUGGGCGUAAAGGGCGCGUAGGUGGUUGUAUAAGUUUCAUGUGAAAUCCCUGGGCUUAACCUAGGAACAGCAUGGGAAACUGUAUGACUGGAGUACUGUAGAGGGUAGUGGAAUUUCCGGUGUAGCGGUGAAAUGCGUAGAGAUCGGAAGGAACACCAGUGGCGAAGGCGGCUACCUGGACAGAUACUGACGCUGAGGCGCGAGAGCGUGGGGAGCAAACAGG
rnacentral:rRNA from 1 species